rnacentral:rRNA from 1 species
AUACGGAGGAUGCGAGCGUUAUCCGGAUUUAUUGGGUUUAAAGGGUGCGUAGGCUGUUUUUCAAGUCAGGGGUGAAAUGCCGGGGCUCAACUCCGGAGCUGCCUUUGAUACUGGGAGGCUGGAAUACUGUUGCCGUGGGAGGAAUGAGUAGUGUAGCGGUGAAAUGCAUAGAUAUUACUCAGAACACCGAUUGCGAAGGCAUCUCACGAAGCAGUGAUUGACGCUGAGGCACGAAAGCGUGGGGAUCAAACAGGAUUAGAUACCCUGGUAGUCCACGCAGUAAACGAUGAUAACUAACCGUUGGCGAUAGACAGCCAGUGGCCAAGCGAAAGCGAUAAGUUAUCCACCUGGGGAGUACGACCGCAAGGUUGAAACUCAAAUGAAUUGACGGGG